UACAGAGGGUGCAAGCGUUGUUCGGAAUUAUUGGGCGUAAAGCGCGCGUAGGCGGACCUGCAAGUCGGGGGUGAAAGCCCGAGGCUCAACCUCGGAACUGCCUUCGAUACUGCGGGUCUCGAGUCCGGGAGAGGUGAGUGGAAUUCCUAGUGUAGAGGUGAAAUUCGUAGAUAUUCGCAAGAACACCAGUGGCGAAGGCGGCUCACUGGCCCGAUACUGACGCUGAGGUGCGAAAGCGUGGGGAGCAAACGGG
rnacentral:rRNA from 1 species